UAGGGAAUCUUCGGCAAUGGGGGGAACCCUGACCGAGCAACGCCGCGUGAGUGAAGAAGGUUUUCGGAUCGUAAAGCUCUGUUGUUAAGGAAGAACGAGUGUGAGAAUGGAAAGUUCAUGCUGUGACGGUACUUAACCAGAAAGGGACGGCUAACUACGUGCCAGCAGCCGCGGUAAUACGUAGGUCCCGAGCGUUGUCCGGAUUUAUUGGGCGUAAAGCGAGCGCAGGCGGUUAGAAAAGUCUGAAGUGAAAGGCAGUGGCUCAACCAUUGUAGGCUUUGGAAACUGUUUAACUUGAGUGCAGAAGGGGAGAGUGGAAUUCCUAGUGUAGCAGUGAAAUGCGUAGAGAUUAGGAGGAACACCGGUGGAGAAAGCGGCUUUUUGGCCUGCAACUGACACUGAGGCGCGAAAGCGUGGGGAGCAAACAGG
rnacentral:rRNA from 1 species